rnacentral:rRNA from 1 species
AGGAUCCUGAGUACGGCGGAACACGAGAAAUUCCGUCGGAAUCCGCGGGGACCAUCCCGCAAGGCUAAAUACUCCCUAGUGACCGAUAGUGAACCAGUACCGUGAGGGAAAGGUGAAAAGCACCCCGGAAGGGGAGUGAAAUAGAUCCUGAAACCGUGUGCCUACAACAAGUCAAAGCUCGUUAAUGAGUGAUGGCGUGCCUUUUGUAGAAUGAACCGGCGAGUUACGAUUGCAUGCGAGGUUAAGUCGAAGAGACGGAGCCGCAGCGAAAGCGAGUCUGAAUAGGGCGAAUGAGUAUGUAGUCGUAGACCCGAAACCAUGUGAUCUACCCAUGUCCAGGUUGAAGGUGCGGUAAAACGCACUGGAGGACCGAACCCACGUACGUUGAAAAGUGCGGGGAUGAGGUGUGGGUAGCGGAGAAAUUCCAAACGAACUUGGAGAUAGCUGGUUCUCUCCGAAAUAGCUUUAGGGCUAGCCUCGGAAUUGAGAAUGAUGGAGGUAGAGCACUGUUUGGACUAGGGGCCCAUCUCGGGUUACCGAAUUCAGAUAAACUCCGAAUGCCAUUCAUUUAUAUCCGGGAGUCAGACUGCGAGUGAUAAGAUCCGUAGUCGAAAGGGAAACAGCCCAGACCACCAGCUAAGGUCCCAAAAUAUAUGUUAAGUGGAAAAGGAUGUGGGGUUGCACAGACAACUAGGAUGUUGGCUUAGAAGCAGCCACCAUUUAAAGAGUGCGUAAUAGCUCACUAGUCGAGUGACCCUGCGCCGAAAAUGUACCGGGGCUAAACAUAUUACCGAAGCUGUGGACUACACCAUUAGGUGUAGUGGUAGGAGAGCGUUCUAAGGGCGUUGAAGGUCGAUCGUGAGGACGGCUGGAGCGCUUAGAAGUGAGAAUGCCGGUAUGAGUAGCGAAAGACAGGUGAGAAUCCUGUCCACCGUAUGACUAAGGUUUCCUGGGGAAGGCUCGUCCGCCCAGGGUUAGUCGGGACCUAAGCCGAGGCCGAUAGGCGUAGGCGAUGGACAACAGGUUGAUAUUCCUGUACCAGUUGUUUUUGUUUGAGCAAUGGAGGGACGCAGUAGGCUAAGGAAUGCAUGCGAUUGGAAGUGCAUGUCCAAGCAAUGAGUCUUGAGUAGAGUUAAAUGCUUUACUCUUUAAGGACAAGUUGUGACGGGGAGCGAAAUAAUAGUAGCGAAGUUCCUGAUGUCACACUGCCAAGAAAAGCUUCUAGUGAGAAAACAACUGCCCGUACCGUAAACCGACACAGGUAGUCGAGGAGAGUAUCCUAAGGUGAGCGAGCGAACUCUCGUUAAGGAACUCGGCAAAAUGACCCCGUAAC